UGAGGAAUAUUGCACAAUGGGCGCAAGCCUGAUGCAGCGACGCCGCGUGGGUGAUGAAGGCUUUCGGGUCGUAAAACCCUUUUCUGUGUGACGAGCAAGGACGGUAGCACAGGAAUAAGCCUCGGCUAACUACGUGCCAGCAGCCGCGGUAAAACGUAGGAGGCGAGCGUUAUCCGGAGUUACUGGGCGUAAAGCGCGUGUAGGUGGUUGGAUACGUCUGCUGUGAAAUGUCCCGGCUUAACCGGGAGGGUGCGGCAGAUACGGUCUGACUUGAGGGCGACAGAGGAGCGUAGAAUUCCGGGUGUAGUGGUGAAAUGCGUAGAGAUCCGGAGGAAUACCAGUGGCGCAAGCGGCGCUCUGGGUCGCAACUGACACUGAGACGCGAAGGCAUGGGGAGCGAACGGGAUUAGAUACCCCCGUAGUCCCUGAGCGGGCUGGCAAGGCGCAU
rnacentral:rRNA from 1 species